GGUUGUAGCUCAGCGGUAGAGGGCUCGCCUAGUACGGGGGAGGCCCUGUGUUCGAUCCUCAGCACCA
rnacentral:tRNA from 1 species